ACCAUACCAGCUAAACAUUAUCAUUUCUUAGCAUCUGCCACAUUUCAGAUUUCUAAGAAGACAGAGAAACCAAAAUUGAGGUCACAAUCCUUGGGGGGGUUGGUCACAAUGAUCAAAUGAAAUGCCUCCUGGUUCCAGUGGUCACAGGGACCCCAGGCUCCAAGACUCCCAGAGAGGGCUCUGCUCGGCAUCCAGGCUGACCCCUUUGCAGGACAAUGGGAGGGUCUGAGCCUUUGAAAGGAAAUUCUCCCAGGUCAUGCUUGAACUCACUCAGCCAUAUCUUGUCCAAGGCCUCUCUGACUGGCCCUCAGGGAAUGGGGAUGAGGAAUAGUGAUCUGCACAUCUCAGAACAGGACAGGAUCAGUUCCAGCCAGUUCUAAAGAGUUGUGAGCCCUGUCCAGUCUGAGGGAAGGACCUGGAAGGAGACUGGAAUGAGACUGGGAAGUCAAGUACAGAGAACAGAGACAGAAGCCAGGGGAAAGCCAUGGCCACCAGGUAGAGGUUUGGUUUGUGAGACAAUUUCUGGGAACGCAGAAGCAGGCCUGCUUGGAACAGGCGCCUCCUAUUUAAGCCCCAAAAGGGAAAGCUGUUGUAUGUUAACCAUAGGUUCCCACGCACAGUAAGUCCUAGUUACCUGGUGGCUGAAGAGUAGACAUAGUCCCAGGGUAGCCCCAAAAGCCCAUGUGUGCAGCAGCUCUGAGGCUGGGGCUCUUGAAUCCCUAUCCUCGCUCUAAAAGAAAGUGUAGGGUCAUCCAGGCAAGUUCGCACCCUGGGUCUGCUGGCAAAGAAGGCAGCCAUUCCCAUCCCCACAUGGGUCAACCUCAGAGCCCACAUGGGGUCUUCACACGUCUCAGACACACAGCCCUCGCUGAGAGACUCCCCUGGGGACAGAUGGUUACUCACAGCUCAGGACAAUCUGGGCAGCUCGGUAGAGUUCCAGGUGACACAGGAGGUCCACCAGCUGCUGGACAGUGGCCUGCCGCAUGGACCACCACCACAGCAGCUCCCGGGUGAUGCUCACCCCCUGAACCCUCUCCAUGGACUUGAUCUUCCUCAGCUGUGUCAGGUCUGUGAUCACAUAGGAAGCUGGAAGGCAAGAGAGGAUUCCGCUUAGAGCUGGAGGCACUGCCUCAAGGGAGAGUCACUGUUCCUCCCUGUCAACGUGGCUACUACAUCCCAGAAGGAUGAAGAUCUUAGGAGUUUGGGAGCCAUGAACCUCUGUAGUUUUUUUGCCUGGAAUGGUCUCUUCCCCAGCAUAAGCCUCGGUGGGGAGCAGGACCCCAGCAAGUGUCCCCAUCACUGCUGCCUCUCAAAUGGAGAAACUGGCUGGCUCAGGGCAGCAGGGUAGGAUGCAGAGGAGUGGAGGGCAGCAAGGUAGGGAAGCCCUAAGCCUUAGGGAUGCCCUCCCUGUUCUUGCAGGACCCCAACAAGUGUCCCCAGAUGUUGUUCCCUGAGCCCCUGGCUCACUAAGUCUCAACCCUGGUCGGAAAAACUAGCAUGUCUAUGAUCGAUGAGUGACAAAUGGUAGAACUGUCACAGGAACCAAGACGGCCCACGGGGUUGGCGCCAUGCUAACUCUGAAGCUCGGGGAAGAACUGCAAGGAACUAUGUUGGCAAUAAUACUACGCUCCCCUUCUCUUACCUUGUUUUUGAUACAAGGUCUUGCUGUGCAGUCCAGAGCAGCCUCCAAUAUUCUUAUUUUUUGGUAUAAAAUAGAUGGAAAAGACACACUGUAUCCCACCCUCCCAGGCCAACUCCACCAAGCUAAGUCCUCUAGUCCUUCACACGGGUGCUGGCUUUUUCUUUUCUUUUCUUUUCUUUUUUUCUUUUUUUUCCGGAGCUGGGGACCGAACCCAGGGCCUUGCACUUGCUAGGCAAGCGCUCUACCGCUGAGCUAAAUCCCCAAUCCCAGGUGCUGGCUUUACACAGAAUUUGAUGGACAAUAGUUAAGGCCUCUUCUAUUUAUUAAUGCUGUAGUUCAAGCUUCUCCCAGUUGAUCCAGGCGCCUCAUAAAUGGCUACUUUGUAGUUGCAUUACUGUUUGCCAAGCUUGAUGGUGAAUGCCUUUAAUACUAACGCCCUGGAAGCAGAGGCAAGAGGUCUUCAGUGAAUUUGAGGCCACCCUGGUCUACAUAGUGAGUUCCAGGCCAACUUGGACUACAUAGUAAGACCCUGUCUUAAUUUUUUUUUUAUCAAAAAACAUUAAUUUUAUUAUUGUUUUUAUUGGCAUGGUGCUGGGUACUGAACCCAGAGACUCAUCCUGUAUAACCUCACUCUGAGCUUUGCUGUCUAACCCAUAAGGAAUUUGUCAGUUUGAGUGAAUGAACUUUUGUGUUUUGAAGAACUAGGGCUCAAAACUAGGGCCUCAUGCAUGCUAAACCACUGAGCCACACUCCCAGCUCUUAAAUGGCAUUUUUUAGUUGUUACAUAGUAUCCCACUGAUUGGGUUUGUUUGUUUGUUUGUUUGUUUUGAGAUAGGGUCUCACUCUAUAGAACAAGCUGGCCUUGAACUCUCAGGAAUCUGCCUUCUCCUAGCUCAAGUGCUAGAAUUAAAUGCAUGACCCACCACGACCAGCCUUGCCACUUAGUUUAUUGACAUAGGAAAGCAUGAGAGAGAGAGAGAGACUUCAAGGCGGCAUGAAGAAGGAACAGCAGCCAGUGCGUGCGGGAGACCCUCAGCCCCGUCCCCAGGACAGCCAAACAAAACUGAACAAAAAUGAGGAGUUAAAAAAGAAAAAUCACAGAACAGGAAUGUAUGUGAACACAGAGUCAGGUGGCUGGGGACUAUGAGUGUACUCUGCUGGUGUAGCGCUUGCCUCCCGUGCAUGAGGGUCUGGGUUCGAGUCCCAGCACCACCAAAGAAAAAUGCCAUUAAGCAUUAAACAC